UCCAAGGCAGUCCUAAAGCAGUAGAUAAGGUCAAUGUGGGACCUACAGUCUUUGCCAUAGGUGAGGCAGAUGCUUGAUUAAAGGUCUGUGUGGUUUCCUUUUGCUAAACCUGUGCAUUCCCCUCACAAAAGAACUCGUAUCAUUCCUCAUGUUCCUCAAUUUCAAGUAGUCCUGUGUCAAGGAAUCUCAUGAGUCAAUGAGUAAGUUAUACUUUUGCAAGGAGGCAGUAAGAACAUGCUUGGGUCUCUUUAUCAGCAUGGAGUGCCUGCUUCAGACAUCUGGAGCUGACUAUACAAACAUCAUGGCUUGCUCAGCAAAAAUGACCGAGUGCCUCCGUGCUGGGGAUACUGUCCUGGAAGAAGAAACUGGAAUUAAUUUGCUUAUCCUGACAAUGGAUUGAAAGGGUUUUACAGAGUUUUUCCACUGCCUUAAGAUAGCUUCUACAAAUAGUCCAUAUCUCAAAAGCAUAUACGUAGGAGGGUGGGAAUCACAAUUGUCUGGUAAGCUAUUGUUUGAGGUCUUCCUCUCCAAAUCUUCUACUCCUCAAUCAGCUAACACACCAAAGAUGGUGAUGAAUUUCAACGGAUAGGCUUCCUUCAUUGGGAGACAAUGCCCAACCUAUAUUUCCGGAUUCACAUUGUAGAUCUUUAUUGGGGCGUGUGGGUGAAGCAUCUGUGCUUCACAGAUGUUCAGCUUAUGGUCCAUUAUUUCAAAUUCUUCAGUGAAUGAGUCGAUAAUAGUUGGAGUUCAGCCUUCAAGUGUGCACAUGCACAAGCAUUAUAUCUGUUCUGUGACUGACUUUAGAGUGACCUUGGUGAUGGAACAGAAUCAAUACAGGAUGAAUAUUUGUUACUGAUAUUGACAUUGCUUUAUUAUUGUCACAUGUCCCAAGAUACACUGAAAAGCUGUUCAUACAGAUCAAAAUUGAUACAGUGCCUUGAGGUAGAAUAAGGUGAAACAGCAGCAAAAUGUAAAAACCACCCAAAAAAGUGCAGUGCAGAUAAUGAGGUAGAUUGUGAGGCCAAGUGUUCAUCUUAUCAUUCGAUCAUAUAAAAGAUCCAUUCAGAAGUCUGAAAACAGUGGCAUACAAGCUGUUUUUGAGCCUGGUGGUAUGUGCUUUAAGGAUUUGUUAUCUUUUGCCUCAUGGGAGGGGAGAAGAAAGAAUGUCUGGCAUGGGUGGGACUUUGCUUACAUUGGCUGCUUUACUGAGCAAGAAGUAUAGAGAGAGUCCUUGGAGGAGAGUCUGGUUCCUGUGAUGUACUGAGCUGUGUCCACAACUCUCCAAAGUCUCUUGAGGUCACAUGCAGUUACCAAGCCAUUAAGCAUCCAGACAGGAUGCUUUCAAUUGUGCACCAAUCAAAAAAUCCUCCUGUAGGUUAGCAACACGGCAACAGAAAGGGAUAUUGGGUCUCAAACUCACUCUAUCAGAUUAACUGAUACUCCUUUAACAAGAGGGGUCAGAACUCACGUAGCAAAAUGCUAAGGAGCAUUGAAUUACAGAAGGAUCUUGGGAUUGCAAGUUCACAGCUUCCUGAAAGUGGCAACGCAAAUGGACAGGGGGGUAAAGAAUGUAUAUGGCAUUGAGUAUAAAAGUCAGAAAGUCAUGAGACAGCAGUAUAACACAUUGGUUAGGCUGAAUUUGAAAUACUAUUUGCUGUUCUGGUCACCAAACUGGAGGAAGGACGUGGAAGCACUGGAGAGAGUACAGAAGUGUUUCACAAGGAUAUUGCCUGGAAUGGAGAGUACUAGCCAAAAAAAAAGUGGUUAAACUAACUUGAAUUGUUUUCUCUGGUGUGUAUGAAGCUGAGAGGGUCCUGGUAGAAGUUUCCAAAAUUGUGAGAGGCAUAGAUAGGGUAGAACAGUCAAUUACUUGAGAGUAUACAUUUAAAGAGAGAAGGGGGAAGUUUAAAAGAGGCAUGCAAGGCAUUUUAUUUUUUGCAGAACAUGCUAAGUGCCAGGAACCCAUUGCCAGUGGAGAUGGUAGAAGUAGACAUUUGGCAUUUAAGAGACAGUUAGGCAAACAUGUGGAUAGAGAGAUACCAACCAUAUGAAAGCAGAUAUGAUAAGUUAGACUACCAUCAUGUAAGGUGGGCUGAAGGAUGUGGUGCUGUGCUAUACUGUCCUCUGUUCUGUGUUCAUUGUUCUAUGUAAAACAAAGGUUACUAAGCAUGUUAAAUCAAAACACUCUCAUGAUUUCUCUUUUUUGAAUAAAUGCAGAAAGCAAUAAUGGUAGAGAGAAUACUUUCUCUCCCUCUCUCCUCUUUCUUCUUUCCUACAAAGAUAAUUUAGUACAUUAAAUUUUUCUUUGAGAUUUGGUGCAUACUUUGGAAAAUCUGAAGUAAAGCUGUUGGGAAAAAAACAAACACUUCAGUAACCAUGGCUUAUGGUUCAGUAUCAGCUAGAAAAUUAAAUAUUGUCUGUGUUCAAAAUUCAACAAGUCAUAGUUUAGAUAAUACUGUCAGUCUCACCCAAGGAUUUAGGAAUAGAUAUGAAAGCAUUGAAAAUAGGAUAGAUAACUUGUAUUAUUGACCCCAGUCAGCACUGUUGCUCACAAUUGCCAUUAACUUCUGAAACCCCUUCAAAGUUACUUCAAAAACAUUUAAUUAUUAACUAUUUUUCAAUUUCAAACAAAUAGUUUUCAAAUUCUGAUAACAUUAAAAUAUAAAAAUUGUUCAAAUGCUUUAACAUUGUUCAAGCAGUUUAAUAGCAAGGUCUAUGAACACUGUCUCGUUGUCCAUGUUCUGCACUGUUUAUCUAAUUUGUAACUCAUAAUAAUUCUCAUGUCUUGCACGGUACUGUUCCCACAAAACAAAAAAAAAUUCAUGGUAUCUUUCAGUGAUAAAAAAAAUCGAAAUCAGAUUCAGAUCUAAAUGCACUUGUGUUUAAUAACGUCCAUUAUAGACAUUCACCUCCAUUGAAAUGAAUGGAGAAGUUACACGAUGUUCAGAAGAAUGCUGGCUGGUAAGUGAUAUGGAGUCUCUGCAAUUUCCAGCUCUCGCACUGAAAUUCAUGAGAAAUCCUGCAACUUCACCACUCCUGAGUAUGCAUGAAUUUUCUGCAUUGGCUGAAGCUUUUUUGGAAAUAGCAAAAGUGCUGUUAGCAUUUCAUCGAAUUGUAGAAAUACUCAAAUUUAAAGGGCAGACAAAGUGCUCUCAGUCCACAGCCUUGCAGAUUUUGAUCUUUAAGUGCUUGCACAGUCAUAUUUUAUUUCCUCAUUCAGUUGGGGCAAUUAUCAUAUUUAUAAAUUUAAAUCUUGUAGAUAUUUUAAGGGACUGGAAAUUUCAGAUACUGAGAAAACAAUAGCAGUAAAAACUGUCUUUGGAUUAUUUGGAUUAAUCCAUUUUUGGAAAUGUAUACUGGUCAGAUUAUGCAGUUUAAAUAUAAUAUUCCAUCAAUAUAGCAUUUAUUAUGUGACACACUAUAUAACUUCUUAAUUAUUGAAAAUACUUUCACAAUGUCCAGCGCAGGGUUACAGGAAUUCAAAAAAUUCAAUAUUUUGUUUUUCCCUAUCAAACAUAAAAUAUAAGCACUGGAUACACGAAAGUACUGCAUGUACAGUAUAUCUGUAGUUCUAGUGUACAUGCUCGAUCUAUGCAACCAUUUAUUAAUUAAUUAUAAAUGUUUUGAACUUUUUGACAACGCAGUAUCUUUACUUUAUGAAUUUAAAUUACAAAUCAAAAAAUAUUGGCAGUUGCAAUAAAUAACAUUUAAAGUGUUUACCUGUAAAGUAAAAUUUGCCAAGCAAGAGAAUUUGACUCACUUAAAUAUCUUAAUGUUAAGUGUUUAACUUUCUAUUUAAAAAAUGUGCCUUGACAUUUUAUUUGAAUCUUUACUGAUUUAUUGACAUUAGGGUAGUCCAUCAAACUGUCGUGGACACUUGACAGGACACUUACUGCAGACAGUGUUUUCAUUGAAUUUAAUUUGUCCUUUAGGCAAUUUAUAAAAUAUUCUCCAUGAAAGGGGAAUGUAAACUGUUCUACUGUUGCUUCCUCGCCUGGCUUUCUUGAAAUUGUUUAACUGGUGAUAAAAACAAAGAAACCUGUAUUCUUCUGAAACCACAGAGAGGAAGUCUGGGUGGAGCUUCUGUCAAAGGAUCCAGGACAUCACGGACCAAGUGCAGGGAAUCCUCAAGGGUGAAGAUGAACAGCCAGAAGUGAUAGUGCAUGUCGGCACAAAUGACAUCAGGAAGAAGAGGAAGGACAUUCUGCAGCAGGACUUCAGAAAACUUGGAAGAAGGCUGAAAAGCAGGACUUCCAGGAUGGUUACCUCUGGUUUGCUUCCAGUUCCUCGUGCUGGAGAGGGCAGGAACAGGGAGAUAAUGGAUCUGAAUGUGUGGCUGAGGAACUGGUGCAGGAAGCAAGGAUUUACAUACUUGGACCACUGGGGUUGACAGCUGGCUGACGUUAUUUUUGGUUUGCUGCUGGCGGCAAAUUUAAGUUUGGCGUUUUUCAUAAAUACAAGAAGGACUCAAAUACUUAAAAGUAACCUUCAACCCAACGUCUUUUUUUCGGAGUUCAAAAUGUUUUUGUUGCAUGCAGAAAUGUAAUUUCGUUUUCUCUGCAGGAGUUCAUCAAUUUCAUAAAUGCAACACAUUAUAGUUUGUUUAUACAUAGCAUAAAGGCAAAACAAAACGUUGUAUGCAGUGUUAUUUCAUUUUAAAUGUCAAACGGGUUUUGCGGCUCCCAGUGUUUUCUUUUCUGUGGGAAACGGGUCCAAGUGGCUCUUUCAGUGGUAAAGGUUGCUGACCCCUGAACUAGGGUAAUGGAUGAACUGAAGGAAAUUUAUAUUAGGCAAAAAACGGUGUUGGAUAGACUGUUGGGUCUGAAGGCUAAUAAAUCCCCGGGGCCUGAUGGUCUGCAUCCCAGGGUACUUAAGGAGGUGGCUCUAGAAAUCAUGGAUGCAUUGGUAAUCAUUUUCCAAUGUUCUAUAGAUUCAGGAACAGUUCCUGCGGAUUAGAGGGUGGCUAAUGUUGUCCCACUUUUCAAGAAAGGAGGAAGAGAGAAAACAGGGAAUUAUAGGCCGGUUAGCCUGACGUCAGUAGUGGGAAAGAUGCUGGAAUUAAUUAUAAAAGAGGAAAUUACAACACAUUUGGAUAGCAGUAGAAGGAUCAGUCCAAGUCAGCAUAGAUUUAUGAAGGGAAAAUCAUGCUUGACUAAUCUUCUGGAGUUUUUUGAGGAUGUAACUAUGAAAAUGGACAAGGGAGAGCCAGUGGAUGUAGUGUACCUGGACUUUCAGAAAGCUUUUAAUAAAGUACCACAUAGGAGAUUAGUGGGCAAAAUUAGAGCACAUGGUAUUGGGGGCAGAGUACUGACAUGGAUUGAAAAUUGGCUGGCUGACAGGAAACAAAGAGUAUCAAUUAACGGGUCCCCUUCGGAAUGGCAGGCUGUGACUAGUGGGGUACCACACCGCAAGGUUUGGUGCUGGGACCACAGCUGUUUACAAUAUAAAUUAAUUAUUUAGAUGAAGGGAUUAAAAGUAACAUCAGCAAAUUUGCUGAUGACACAAAGCUAGGUGGCAGUGUGAAAUGUCAGGAGGAUGUUAUGAGAAUGCAGGGUGACUUGGACAGGCUAGGUGAGUGGGCGAAUGUAUGGCAGAUGCAGUUUAAUGCGGAUAAAUGUGAGGUUAUCCACUUUGGUGGCAAGAACAGGAAGGCAGAUUACUAUCUAAAUGGAGUCAAGUUAGGAAAAGGGGAAGUACAACGAGAUCUAGGUGUUCUUGUACAUCAGUCAAUGAAAGCAAGCAUGCAGGUACAGCAGGCAGUGAAGAAAGCUAAUGGCAUGCUGGCCUUUAUAACAAGAGGAGUGGAAUAUAGGAGUAAAGAGGUCCUUCUGCAGAUGUACAGGGCCUUGGUGAGACCCCAGCUGGUGUAUUGUGUGCAGUUUUGGUCUCCAAAUUUGAGGAAGGACAUUCUUGCUAUUGAGGGAGUGCAGCGUAGGUUCACAAGGAUAAUUCCCGGAAUGCAGGGACUGUCAUAUGUUGAAAGAUUGGAGCGACUGGGCUUGUAUACACUGGAAUUCAGAAGGAUGAGAAGGGAUCUGAUUGAAACAUAUAAGAUUAUUAAGGGAUUGGACACGCUGGAGGCAGGAAGCAUGUUCCCGCUGUUGGGUGAGUCCAGAACUAAAGGCCACAGUUUAAGAAUAAGGGGUAGGCCAUUUAGAACAGAGAUGCGGAAAAACUUUUUCACCCAGAGAAUGGUGGAUAUGUGGCAUGCUCUGCCCCAGAAGGCAGUGGAGGCCAAGUCUCUGGAUGCUUUCAAGAGUGAGUUAGAUAAAGCUCUUAUAGAUAGCGGGGUCAUGGGAUAUGGGGAGAGGGCAGGAACGGGGUACUGAUUGUGUAUGAUCAGCCAUGAUCACAGUGAAUGGCGGUGCUGGCUAGAAGGGCUGAAUGGCCUACUCCUAUCCCUCCUGUCUAUUGUCUAUAAAAACAAGAAUGGUCAGGAAUCCCCCAGGCCAUUAAGCUUCUGAACUCCCUGCCGCAUCAUAUUCAAAGUGUCACUGGCCAAUCUGUUUCGUACCUUACAUUAUUUAACAUCAAUGCACUUUUGUUUGAUAUUUAUGUGUGAUUCAUCUGUAGAUUUUAUCCUUACCUUCAUAAGUUAUCAAUGUUA